rnacentral:rRNA from 1 species
CCUAUAAGACUGGGAUAACUUCGGGAAACCGGGGCUAAUGCCGGAUAAUAUUUAGAACCGCAUGGUUCUAAAGUGAAAGAUGGUUUUACUAUCACUUAUAGAUGGACCCGCGCCGUAUUAGCUAGUUGGUGGGGUAAUGGCUUACCAAGGCAACGAUACGUAGCCGACCUGAGAGGGUGAUCGGCCACACUGGAACUGAGACACGGUCCAGACUCCUACGGGAGGCAGCAGUAGGGAAUCUUCCGCAAUGGGCGAAAGCCUGACGGAGCAACGCCGCGUGAGUGAUGAAGGUCUUCGGAUCGUAAAACUCUGUUAUUAGGGAAGAACAAAUGUGUAAGUAACUGUGCACGUCUUGACGGUACCUAAUCAGAAAGCCACGGCUAACUACGUGCCAGCAGCCGCGGUAAUACGUAGGUGGCAAGCGUUAUCCGGAAUUAUUGGGCGUAAAGCGCGCGUAGGCGGUUUCUUAAGUCUGAUGUGAAAGCCCACGGCUCAACCGUGGAGGGUCAUUGGAAACUGGGAAACUUGAGUGCAGAAGAGGAAAGUGGAAUUCCAUGUGUAGCGGUGAAAUGCGCAGAGAUAUGGAGGAACACCAGUGGCGAAGGCGACUUUCUGGUCUGUAACUGACGCUGAUGUGCGAAAGCGUGGGGAUCAAACAGGAUUAGAUACCCUGGUAGUCCACGCCGUAAACGAUGAGUGCUAAGUGUUAGGGGGUUUCCGCCCCUUAGUGCUGCAGCUAACGCAUUAAGCACUCCGCCUGGGGAGUACGACCGCAAGGUUGAAACUCAAA